AGAGUUUGAUCAUGGCUCAGAUUGAACGCUGGCGGCAGGCCUAACACAUGCAAGUCGAGCGGUAGCACAGAGAGCUUGCUCUCGGGUGACGAGCGGCGGACGGGUGAGUAAUGUCUGGGAAACUGCCUGAUGGAGGGGGAUAACUACUGGAAACGGUAGCUAAUACCGCAUAAUGUCGCAAGACCAAAGUGGGGGACCUUCGGGCCUCAUGCCAUCAGAUGUGCCCAGAUGGGAUUAGCUAGUAGGUGGGGUAACGGCUCACCUAGGCGACGAUCCCUAGCUGGUCUGAGAGGAUGACCAGCCACACUGGAACUGAGACACGGUCCAGACUCCUACGGGAGGCAGCAGUGGGGAAUAUUGCACAAUGGGCGCAAGCCUGAUGCAGCCAUGCCGCGUGUGUGAAGAAGGCCUUCGGGUUGUAAAGCACUUUCAGCGGGGAGGAAGGCGGUGAGGUUAAUAACCUCACCGAUUGACGUUACCCGCAGAAGAAGCACCGGCUAACUCCGUGCCAGCAGCCGCGGUAAUACGGAGGGUGCAAGCGUUAAUCGGAAUUACUGGGCGUAAAGCGCACGCAGGCGGUCUGUCAAGUCGGAUGUGAAAUCCCCGGGCUCAACCUGGGAACUGCAUUCGAAACUGGCAGGCUAGAGUCUUGUAGAGGGGGGUAGAAUUCCAGGUGUAGCGGUGAAAUGCGUAGAGAUCUGGAGGAAUACCGGUGGCGAAGGCGGCCCCCUGGACAAAGACUGACGCUCAGGUGCGAAAGCGUGGGGAGCAAACAGGAUUAGAUACCCUGGUAGUCCACGCCGUAAACGAUGUCGAUUUGGAGGUUGUGCCCUUGAGGCGUGGCUUCCGGAGCUAACGCGUUAAAUCGACCGCCUGGGGAGUACGGCCGCAAGGUUAAAACUCAAAUGAAUUGACGGGGGCCCGCACAAGCGGUGGAGCAUGUGGUUUAAUUCGAUGCAACGCGAAGAACCUUACCUGGUCUUGACAUCCACAGAACUUUCCAGAGAUGGAUUGGUGCCUUCGGGAACUGUGAGACAGGUGCUGCAUGGCUGUCGUCAGCUCGUGUUGUGAAAUGUUGGGUUAAGUCCCGCAACGAGCGCAACCCUUAUCCUUUGUUGCCAGCGGUUAGGCCGGGAACUCAAAGGAGACUGCCAGUGAUAAACUGGAGGAAGGUGGGGAUGACGUCAAGUCAUCAUGGCCCUUACGACCAGGGCUACACACGUGCUACAAUGGCAUAUACAAAGAGAAGCGACCUCGCGAGAGCAAGCGGACCUCAUAAAGUAUGUCGUAGUCCGGAUUGGAGUCUGCAACUCGACUCCAUGAAGUCGGAAUCGCUAGUAAUCGUAGAUCAGAAUGCUACGGUGAAUACGUUCCCGGGCCUUGUACACACCGCCCGUCACACCAUGGGAGUGGGUUGCAAAAGAAGUAGGUAGCUUAACCUUCGGGAGGGCGCUUACCACUUUGUGAUUCAUGACUGGGGUGAAGUCGUAACAAGGUAACCGUAGGGGAACCUGCGGUUGGAUCACCU
rnacentral:rRNA from 3 species